UAAGUGGCAGGGGCGCAAGCUGACGUUGAGACUCCGGUCAAGACGGAUCCUUCAAAUCGGCCUCCAGGAAAAGUUCCGGCGUAUGCUAAGGUGCCCGUACCGCAAACCGACACAGGUGGGUGGGUAGAAUAUACCAAGGCGCAAGAGUGAACCCCCGUUAAGGAACUCGGCAAUCUAGCCCCGUAACUUCGGGAGAAGGGGUGCCUGAGUCAAAUCAGGCCGCAGUGAAUGGGCCCAACCGACUGUUUAUCAAAAACACAGCAUUGUGCCAAGGCGCAAGCCGACGUAUACGAUGUGACACGUGACCAAUGCGGAAAGAUUAAGGCAAGAGGUUAGCGCAAGCGAAGCUUUGAACCCAAGUCCCCGUGAAUGUCGGCCGUAACAAUAACGGUCCUAAGGUAGCGAAAUUCCUUGUCGGGUAAGUUCCGACCUGCACGAAUCGUGUAACGAGUUGGGCGCUGUCUCAACGGGGUGCUCAGUGAAAUUGUAUUGGCGGUGAAGAUGCCGCCUACCCGUGGAAGGACGGAAAGACCCUAUGCACCUUAACUGUACUCUGUCACUGUUGUUUCGGCUCUCAUGCUCAGCGUAAGUGGGAGACUUUGAAGGAACCCUUUCGGGGGUUCCCGAGUCGUCAAUGAGACACCACCCCUGGGGGUUGGAACAUCUAACAUCGGUCCCGUGAAUCCGGGCGUUGGACCAUGGCAGACGGUCAGUUUUACUGGGGCGGUAUCCUCCCAAAGAGUAACGGAGGAGCGCGAUGGUCGGCUCAACCUGGUUGGCAAUCAGGUGUUGAGUGCAUUGGCAUAAGCCGGCCUAACUGUGAGACCCACCAGUCGAGCAGAUGCGAAAGCAGGUCAAAGUGAUCCGGCGUUGGAAAGUGGAAUCGACGUCGCUCAACGGACAAAAGGUACGCUAGGGAUAACAGGCUGAUUUUGCCCAAGAGUUCAUAUCGACGGCAAAGUUUGGCACCUCGAUGUCGGCUCGUCACAUCCUGGGGCUGGAGAAGGUCCCAAGGGUCCGGCUGUUCGCCGGUUAAAGUGGCACGCGAGCUGGGUUCAGAACGUCGCGAGACAGUUCGGUCCUCUAUCCUCCAUGGGCGCAGGAAAAUUGCGGGGUUCCAUCCUUAGUACGAGAGGACCGGGAUGGACGCACCUCUGGUGUUCCGGUUGUUUCGUCAGAAGCAACGCCGGGCAGCUACGUGCGGAAGGGAUAAGCGCUGAAAGCAUCUAAGCGCCAAGCCCAUCCCAAGAUAAGUUUUCCCCGAAGGAUCGUGGCAGACUACCACGUCGAUAGGGCAGAGGUAUAAGCACAGUAAUGUGUUCAGCUUACUGCUACUAAUCAUCC
rnacentral:rRNA from 1 species